rnacentral:rRNA from 1 species
AGCAGCCGCGGUAAUUCCAGCUCCAAUAGCGUAUAUUAAAGUUGUUGCAGUUAAAAAGCUCGUAGUUGAAUUUCGGGGUUAGUAGGUUGGUCAUGCCUCUGGUAUGUACUGGUCUUUCUGAUUCCUCCUUCCUGAUGAACUGUAAUGCCAUUAAUUUGGUGUUGCGGGGAAUCAGGACUGUUACUUUGAAAAAAU